rnacentral:rRNA from 1 species
GCCAGACUCCUACGGGAGGCAGCAGUGGGGAAUAUUGGACAAUGGGGGGAACCCUGAUCCAGCGACGCCGCGUGAGUGAAGAAGUAUUUCGGUAUGUAAAGCUCUAUCAGCAGGGAAGAAAGAAAUGACGGUACCUGACUAAGAAGCCCCGGCUAACUACGUGCCAGCAGUCGCGGUAAUACGUAGGGGGCAAGCGUUAUCCGGAUUUACUGGGUGUAAAGGGAGCGUAGGCGGUUUAGCAAGUCAGAAGUGAAAGCCCGGGGCUCAACUCCGGGACUGCUUUUGAAACUGUUGAACUAGAUUGCAGGAGAGGUAAGUGGAAUUCCUAGUGUAGCGGUGAAAUGCGUAGAUAUUAGGAGGAACACCAGUGGCGAAGGCGGCUUACUGGACUGUAAAUGACGCUGAGGCUCGAAAGCGUGGGGAGCAAACAGGAUUAGAUACCCGAGUAU